AACGAACGCUGGCGGCAUGCCUAACACAUGCAAGUCGAACGAGACCUUCGGGUCUAGUGGCGCACGGGUGCGUAACGCGUGGGAAUCUGCCCUUUGCUUCGGAAUAACAGUUAGAAAUGACUGCUAAUACCGGAUGAUGUCUUCGGACCAAAGAUUUAUCGGCAAAGGAUGAGCCCGCGUAGGAUUAGGUAGUUGGUGGGGUAAAGGCCUACCAAGCCGACGAUCCUUAGCUGGUCUGAGAGGAUGAUCAGCCACACUGGGACUGAGACACGGCCCAGACUCCUACGGGAGGCAGCAGUGGGGAAUAUUGGACAAUGGGCGAAAGCCUGAUCCAGCAAUGCCGCGUGAGUGAUGAAGGCCUCGGUCGUAAGCUCUUUACCAGGGAUGAUAAUGACAGUACCUGGAGAAUAAGACUCCGGCGUAACUCCGUAGCCAGCA
rnacentral:rRNA from 1 species